GCCUGGAUAGCUCAUUCGGUAGAGAGUUAGGCUUUUAACCUAAGGGUCCAGGGUAAAGUCCCUGUUUGGGCG